CUCAUCUUUGUUUCGUUGUCUGUUCGACCUUGGUCUCGAUCUCUCCUCAAAACCCUAAUACGCGCUUUAUCGUUUAUUUCAUUCAUCCAUCCUUCUUAUGAUCAUCAUAAACUAACGUACAUGGUUUAUCGGUUUGUUAUUGAUGGGGAUUGGGGUAGAUAGACGAUCGAAACUUUUGAUUUCUGAG